rnacentral:rRNA from 1 species
ACGAACGCUGGCGGCGUGCUUAACCCAUGCAAGUCGCACGGAAAGGCCCUGCUUUUGUGGGGUGCUCGAGUGGCGAACGGGGGAGUAACACGUGAGUAACCUGCCCUUGACUUUGGGAUAACUUCAGGAAACUGGGGCUAAUACCGGAUAGGAGCUCCUGCUGCAUGGGGGGGGGUGGAAAGUUUCGGCGGUUGGGGAUGGACUCGCGGCUUAUCAGCUUGUUGGUGGGGUAGUGGCUUACCAAGGCUUUGACGGGUAGCCGGCCUGAGAGGGUGACCGGCCACAUUGGGACUGAGAUACGGCCCAGACUCCUACGGGAGGCAGCAGUGGGGAAUAUUGCACAAUGGGCGGAAGCCUGAUGCAGCAACGCCGCGUGCGGGAUGACGGCCUUCGGGUUGUAAACCGCUUUCGCCUGUGACGAAGCGUGAGUGACGGUAAUGGGUAAAGAAGCACCGGCUAACUACGUG